CCGGGCCUUGUGAACCUGCAAACCCAAGUCUGAGAGACGAUCCGCCUUCAGCGCUUUCCAGCUUGGCAGAGAGGCUUUCCCGGCGGGGAUCUUUGGUUGGCGCUGGCGAUGCGCGGGGAAGAAAGGCGAGGAGCGGCGUCCAGGCUGGGUGAUGUCCCAGCACGAGUAGGCGGGAUGCGCUCGCUUGGUCCUCCGGGCGCCCGGUCCCUGCCCGCGUCGCGCGCCCACCCCUGGGGACGAGAAGGCGGCCGCCUGAGGACCCCCGCCCGCGACCUCCGCGAGUCUGGAGCGCAGAGGACAGGGUCUGGCUGCUCUUUGGCCUUGGAUGGAAAGUGGGGAAUUGGGUGGGGGGCUGCGGACCCCUUAACGUGGAUUACUUGGUGUGUAUCAGCUGGGCUCAGAAGACCCACGACCUCUUCUCCAUCCGUGGAUUGAUUUGUUCUGCUUAACAGCUGGGUCGCCAAGCUGGAGGCAUUGGUGCAGCCGCUUUGGUUCUUCAGCAUGUGGGCUGUGGUGGUCUUCGGCGCCCAUCGGAAGCUGAUUUGAAGAUUUAGCAGCCUGUGUGGAAGCGGGGGUUCUGUUGCGCUUUACAAAGUGAAAGGAAGGUGUCUGAGGUGCUGGCCUUUGGGGACAAUUUCACUAUACCAGACUUCUUUAGGGGAUCCAGGACUAAGCCGAGGAAGGUGUUUCUGAACCUCAGGGAAUCUGUGGCCACUGGCAAGCCAGCGGAAAAUUCAGGUGUUUGGGUUUUUAAUUAAAUUUCUAAGUGGAAACCAGGAA
rnacentral:lncRNA from 1 species